GGCCCGGUGCGCGCGCGCAGAGAACCCGAGACAGAGCGAGAGGGAGCGCGAGAGCCAACCACCGCCGAGUCAAGAUCAGCGAUUCCACAGCAAUCGCCCUAAUGACAACAGCCUCAUAAUAUCUCCCCUAAAUCCACAAGCCUUCUUCUUUCCUCUUCCCCAAAGAAGUUGAUCCAGAGAUUCGAAAAGCCUUGGCACAGAGUAGUUGAAUGGGAUGUGCAAUUAGACGGGGGUUUUGUUGGGAAGCGAGAGGCUCCCCUACACCUCGGGAGGACUGGCGGUCCAGCCUGCACGGAGAGGCUGUGGGCCAGCCGAUACGGCGUGGUGUGCACAUGGCGUGGACGUCGGGGGCCGCCUCUUUCUGCCUAUCUGCUUCCCUGAGGAGUCGAGAAGGAGCUGUGGCAGAGGAGAAGCUGGGGAGCCUUCUGGACCCCAGGAAGCCCUGAAGAUGCCUGUCCUCCCCAAACAUACACACUAGGAGCUCUGGGCCUGCCCAUCAGCUCCAGCUCCUCAAACUUUGGAGGCCAGCCACCUGUAUAUGAAGUGAAUAAGACCAGAAAAUUGCUAGUUUGCUCAUAUUGUAAGAUAAUAAUUAUUAUUUUUAAAACUAUCUACUUUUUCGCAGAAAAGUAUUGCAAGCCUAAAACAGACCCCUCCCUCCCUCUGGCCACCAUAACUCUUAGGCUAGGCAUGGAUAUUCAUUCUUAGGCAUGUUGCUUUUAAGAAGAUGUCAUCAGCAUCUUGAGCCUGGCCUCCCUUUGUGAGGCUUCUGUAACUAUGGAAGUGUGAUUUACGAAGAUUUGUCGGGGUCAGAGACGUCUUUCCCCACGCACUGUGUAUAUUUAGACAAGACUUGGUUUGGUGUUAAAAAGUGUAUAUGUUGAAUGGAUUCACACACAGUAGCCAACAAUGCCCACAUUGUCGGCCGUGUACAACGUGUAUUGAAACGCAGCGCCCAGACUUUAACUAAUCUGCCCUCAAUAAAGCUGAAAUAAUUAUCCUAA